rnacentral:rRNA from 1 species
AUUGAACGCUGGCGGCAGGCCUAACACAUGCAAGUCGAGCGAGCGGCGGACGGGUGAGUAAUGUCUGGGAAACUGCCUGAUGGAGGGGGAUAACUACUGGAAACGGUAGCUAAUACCGCAUACCAUCAGAUGUGCCCAGAUGGGAUUAGCUAGUAGGUGGGGUAACGGCUCACCUAGGCGACGAUCCCUAGCUGGUCUGUGAGGAGGACCAGCCACACUGGAACUGAGACACGGGCCAGACUCCUACGGGAGGCAGCAGUGGGGAAUAUUGGACAAUGGGCGAAAGCCUGAUGCAGCCAUGCCGCGGGUGUGAAGAAGGUCUUCGGGUUGUAAAGCACUUUCAGCGGGGAGGCGUUACCCGCAGAAGAAGCACCGGCUAACUCCGUGCCAGCCGCCGCGGUAAUGC